rnacentral:rRNA from 1 species
AAACCCCCAACUUCUGAAUGUUGAC